UGCUUUCUAGCGCUGAUUCCAUCUCUUUCUUUCUCGCAUUCAAGCUCUAAAUUUCGUCAUAGAACAUUACUUUUAGAAACUAGGUCAAAUUUGAUUAGGGCAAAAAUACUUGGGUGAAUUCCUCAAAAUUUUCCAUAAUUCGAGCGCUACAAAGGCACAGUUUCAUCUUGAGUUUGCAAAUUUGCCAGUUUAGCAGAUUUUCCCUGAAUCCUCAAUUCCCCCCAUAGCUAGCAAAUUGUUGAUGAUGAACCAGUCCAGCCAUUUUCAACUCUGGGGGUUGUUGUGGAUUCCCCCCCUUUCAUCUUAUUUCUGCAGUGAACGAACAAUCUGCUAGGGAUUGAUUGAUUGAUUGAUUGAUUGAUUUAGGACCAUGUCUCGCGGUCAUGCUCUAUCCAUUGCCAUUUCAAGGGAUUCAUUAUAUGGAUUCAUUUCUAUGAUUAGAAAUGUUUCACGUCUAUCUUUAUUCAACAUAUCCACAUCAUUUGGGCAGUCCUCAUAUGGAAGUUGUGAGUAUCAAAUAAGUAAUUGUAUAUCGAAGUCUCUCCAGGAAUCGACGUCUAUACGCUAUCUGCCUGGCUUCUUUUUCGCUAAGCGAUAUAGUAUGUGUGAGAGCCUUGGUGGGUUUGAAAAAUGGCAAUCUGUUAGGCACUUUAGCAAUGGGGCUGUGGAGCUGAAGACAGACAGCAAUAUUGUCAGGUUUUCUUUUGGUGGGUCUUCUAGUACUAACGGUUCCCCACGGAAACAAAAGAAGGUGGCAAAAGCCAAAUUGUCUAAGAAGGCCAAAUUGAAUGAACUCAGGCUCUAUCGUCUUAAGGCGAAAAAGAAGAAGACGUCUCCCAAUCCAGAAGUUAGGAUCAGAUAUUCCCUUGAAAAGGCCAAAAGGAAAGAAGCGUGGCUGAUUGAGAAGUUGAGGAAAUUCGAGGUUCCAAAAUCUGUUCUUGAAACUUAUGAUCCUGAAAUUCUUACUGAAGAGGAGAAGCACUACUUGAAGCGUACAGGGGAGAAAAAGAAGAACUUUGUUCUGUUGGGGAGGCGAGGAGUCUUUGGUGGAGUUGUUCUUAAUAUGCAUUUGCAUUGGAAGAAGCAUGAAACUGUUAAAGUUAUUUGCAAGCCUUGCAAACCUGGGCAGGUUCAUGAAUAUGCUGAAGAACUUGCUCGGUUGAGUAAAGGCAUUGUGAUUGAUAUUAAACCCAACAACAGCAUAGUCUUUUAUCGGGGAAAGAACUAUGUGCGGCCUGAAGUAAUGUCGCCUCCAGAUACGCUAUCGAAAAACAAGGCCUUGGAAAAAUAUAAGUAUGAACAAUCACUUGAACAUACAAGUCAGUUCAUUGAAAAGUUGGAGAAAGAACUUGAAGAUUUUCAGAAGCAUCUUGCUCAGUUCAAGAGAAAGAAGGAAGAGGCUGCUGUAGAAUUCAUGGUUAACUCAUGACUGAUUAGGAGCGUGCCACCACUUGUCUUGUGCGAUAGGCUAUUUUAAAGCAGUGGCUUAACAUUUUCCACCAUAAAUGAUGACGCUCAAAGAGAUGGUGCACAUAGACCCUUCGACAGAAGUGUGAAUGAUGAAGACAUAAAGGCACACUUAAAAUCCUCACCGAGUUUGGUCAUAGGAUUGCGGUCGAGAAGUUUAUGUUUUUGCGUGGAUGAACGAAAGAUCCUCAUUCAAUUUUGUUAUAUAAUCAUGUAUGACUAUGUGACCAUUUUGUGAGCAUUGUCAUUUAGGACUUCAGAAUUAUUCUUACUUGUUCGGAGCUUUUAUGCUAUUGAUUUGAUUGUUUUACAUUUAAUGUACAAUCAUUUGUGUUCUC